rnacentral:rRNA from 1 species
UACGUAGGUGCACAGUAUACGUGAAUUACUGGGCGUAAAGCGUGCGCAGGCGGUUAUGCAAGACAGAGGUGAAAUCCCCGGGCUCAACCCUGGGAACUGCCUUUGUGACUGCAUAGCUAGAGUACGGUAGAGGGGGAUGGAAUUCCGCGUGUAGCAGUGAAAUGCGUAGAUAUGCGGAGGAACACCGAUGGCGAAGGCAAUCCCCUGGACCUGUACUGACGCUCAUGCACGAAAGCGUGGGGAGCAAACAGG